AUGCCUGUGAAUGGGGAUGAGCAUGCGAAUACUGCUGGAGUUGGCCUAACCCAACGACCAGACGCAACACGACGGCGACGGCCAUGGCUUCGCCGGACCUCGCCGCCGGCGACGGCAGCUACGACUUUCACCUUCGCUCUCUCUCCGCGGCCUCACGGGACUCCGCUGCGGCCUCCGACCCCGCCUCUGACCCCAACCUCCUCCAAUCUGUUAGGAGGGUGUGCGAGAUGUGCCGAACGGCGAAGGAAGCGAAGGACGAGAUGGUGGCGCGGGCGUUCCCCGUGAUGGGCAAGCUAUUUCAGCGAUGCGCCGCCGCUCCCACGCAGGCCGUUGCCUCCACCGGCGUGCUGCUCCUCACCAUUUUGCAAUUCUUCUUGGAUUUUGGGGAGGCUGUUUUGCAUGAUGCUGAUGGUAGCUUGAAAACCUUCUUCCGCUCUUGCUUAAGGAGUUUGCAGAUCCUAUUGUUGCAGAGCGCACAGUUGAAUUCCUUGUAACAAACAAGACAAAGAUCCUUAGCUCCUUUCCCAAUUUGAUUCCACAGGUGCCAACACUUGAAAUAUUUACUUACUUGGAAUUGACAAUUCCCACAUGUAGCUCCUAUUAUUCAUGCUGUUGCAGAUCAUUGCUUUGAAAAACUGAAAGAUAUAAAUCCAGCUUCCUUCUUUGUUUUAUAGCAUAUUUGUCAAUUUUUUAUGUGAAUGGUGGGGGAGGCCCCUACAUGUAUUUCUUCACUAACAGAAGCAAAGAAAUAUUUACAAUACAGGAGGCUGUAGGCCAAAAAGGUAGAGAAAAAACAGAAAAAACCAUAUUUGUAUGAUAAGCUACUCAACCAAUCUUUUGUAAGAUUCUUUAUAGAAUAUCUCUCUUCUCUUCCUAUUUUCCAUAUUCGACUUAAUCUUGUUAACACAUGCCAAUGCUUGUGUAUCCUUGUUUAUACACAGUUCUAUCCAUUGUUGUUAAAGCUUAUUGCAUCAAACGGUGAGAGGUAUGUGCUCGUAUUGUCAUGAACUUCACAUAGCUCUAUCAUCCAUGUUCCCUUUAAAUGACUCAGUACAGGUACCAUAAAUAUCCAAUAGCAAUCCCGUUGAACUACCUAAUUUGUUUUCUAACAUUCUAGACUGGAGAAUAAGUUUUCGGAAGUACUUCCAUUAAUGAUGUCAGCAGGAUCUUUUCUUCCCCUCUUCCUAUCCCUUAUGGAUUUGCCAAUGUUGGUGGUGGCACUGGAAAAGGUGGAAAGAAGUUCUGGAACUCUUAUUGGUAGUAGUAUAGCUACAAUCCAGAAGAGCGCUGCUCCUGAGAUGCUUCUUGCACUGAUGGACGAGGCAUAUACUGGUUCUGCCGUAGAAGAACCUAGUGGUAAUUCAGGUUCUGAUGAUAGUGGUCCCCUAGACCUUACUGACCCAAUGUUCUUAGACCUUCUAAAAGAUGAGAAUGAUGGCAUUGCCGCAAAACAUUGGAUAUCCCCUACGAUAUCUUCAACGUUACAAGCAGCAUUUAACAGCCCACAGUCGGACAGAUUGAAACAGUCACUGGAAAUGGCACCUCGCUUUCUUACUUUAUAUUUUGCAACAGCAUUGCGAGACGUUAAUGACUCACUGCUGUGUGCUCUUAUUCCAGUAGUUAUGUCAAGAUAUGCUGCAAUGUUCCCAGACAAAGUUUUCUCUUUCAAGGUGAGGGAAAGGCUUUCAGACUUCAUUUUGGCUGCAUUCCAGCGGUCUCCCAACAUCAUUGCAGUACUGAAGAUUAUCUUUCUCACUGUAACUGAAAUUUACUGAUGGACUGUGGCCAGUGCAGACAGAGUUAGCAUUGCACUUGUGCUGGGCCAUUGGUGAGCAUGGAGCUGGAGGGGUGGGUCACAAGGAUGUAGCUCGUGAACUAUUUGAAAAUUUGGAGUUAUUAUUGUAUGAAAACCUGGCAACUAGCCGUUUGGGAUUAAGCCAAGAGCCAGGAUCUGAUUCCAUGGGUGCAUCAUCUAGAAAGUCAUCCCAAGCCAGGCUUCUCUGCUUUGUGGUGACUGCUAUUGCAAAAUUAGCAACAUGCCACAGUGAGUUGCUUCCGAGGGCACGCGUGUCAUUGGGUCGCUCGUUCCCGAACCUCAGACAGGAGGGUCUGGCAACGGGCCUGUGACUAUUUAGGGCUCAUGAAUGAACCAGCCAUCUGUUUAUCUGUACUGGGACCGUCCACCGCCCAAGGAAAUGGUCCUGGUAUUGUGAAUUGGAGUGAAGGAGGAACAAAGAUGGUAGCUCAUGUUCCUUUUUACCUUUUAGCCCAGCAAAAAGGUCCACCGUCUCAUAAUUUUUCAUUUGCCGACCUCCUCCCAACAGAAUGAAGAAAAUAUCUGCAUGAGUGCAUUGGUGCAGGCAUGAUUUCUCUAGCAGAAGGCCAUAUAACGAUUUUGUUUUGAAGAUCCAAGUUCCUUUUUAAAAAAGGGGCUGGUCUGAACAUUCAGGCUUAUUUCUCUAGCAUAAUACUCAUAAAGAGUCCUGUACUUUUAGGUCUUGUUCGGUUAUUCCUAUAAUACAUGGAUUGAUGGAAUUAAAAAAAAUUUAGAAGAACUUUGACUUGCUUAGGAAUUCAACACAUCUAAUCCCACUCAAUCCAUAUGGAUUGAGAGCUAAUCGAACAAGUCUUACAUGGUUGACUAUGCACUCGAGUUAUGGAAUGUAUGGUAUUACAUUUCUAAGUGGUGGAUCGUAGUGUAAAAAAUGUACACGUCUGAAUUUGUUCGAAAUGACAAGUAUCUGUUUUGUUUGAAA